AGAGUUUGAUCAUGGCUCAGGAUGAACGCUAGCGGCAGGCUUAACACAUGCAAGUCGAGGGGUAUAGUUCUUCGGAACUAGAGACCGGCGCACGGGUGCGUAACGCGUAUGCAAUCUACCUUUUACAGAGGGAUAGCCCAGAGAAAUUUGGAUUAAUACCUCAUAGUAUAAUGACUCGGCAUCGAGAUAUUAUUAAAGUCACAACGGUAAAAGAUGAGCAUGCGUCCCAUUAGCUAGUUGGUAAGGUAACGGCUUACCAAGGCUACGAUGGGUAGGGGUCCUGAGAGGGAGAUCCCCCACACUGGUACUGAGACACGGACCAGACUCCUACGGGAGGCAGCAGUGAGGAAUAUUGGACAAUGGGCGCAAGCCUGAUCCAGCCAUGCCGCGUGCAGGAUGACGGUCCUAUGGAUUGUAAACUGCUUUUAUACGAGAAGAAACACUGCUUCGUGACGCAGCUUGACGGUAUCGUAAGAAUAAGGAUCGGCUAACUCCGUGCCAGCAGCCGCGGUAAUACGGAGGAUCCAAGCGUUAUCCGGAAUCAUUGGGUUUAAAGGGUCCGUAGGCGGUUUAAUAAGUCAGUGGUGAAAGCCCAUCGCUCAACGGUGGAACGGCCAUUGAUACUGUUAAACUUGAAUUAUUAGGAAGUAACUAGAAUAUGUAGUGUAGCGGUGAAAUGCUUAGAGAUUACAUGGAAUACCAAUUGCGAAGGCAGGUUACUACUAAUGGAUUGACGCUGAUGGACGAAAGCGUGGGUAGCGAACAGGAUUAGAUACCCUAGUAGUCC
rnacentral:rRNA from 1 species